rnacentral:rRNA from 1 species
GAUAACCGCUGAAAGCAUCUAAGUGGGAAGCCCCCCCCAAGAUGAGUACUCCCAGACUUUGGUCUCGGAAGGGCCGUGCGAGACGAGCACGUUGAUAGGCGGCAAGUGGAAGCGUGGUAACACGUGUAGCUGAGCCGUACUAAUGGCCCGAGAGGCUUGACCAG